rnacentral:rRNA from 1 species
AGCGGCGAACGGGUGAGGAAUACAUGGGUAACCUACCCUCGAGUGGGGAAUAACUAGCCGAAAGGUUAGCUAAUACCGCAUACGACUCUCGGUCUGCGGAUCGAGAGGGAAAGCGAUACCGUGGGUAUCGCGCUCAUGGAUGGGCUCAUGUCCUAUCAGCUUGUUGGUGAGGUAAUGGCUCACCAAGGCUUCGACGGGUAGCUGGUCUGAGAGGACGAUCAGCCACACUGGCACUGCGACACGGGCCAGACUCCUACGGGAGGCAGCAGUAAGGAAUAUUGCGCAAUGGGCGACAGCCUGACGCAGCGACGCCGCGUGGGGGAUGAAGGUCUUCGGAUUGUAAACCCCUUUCGGCAGGGAAGAUGGAACGGGCAACCGUUCGGACGGUACCUGCAGAAGCAGCCACGGCUAACUUCGUGCCAGCAGCCGCGGUAAUACGAAGGUGGCAAGCGUUGUUCGGAUUUACUGGGCGUACAGGGAGCGUAGGCGGUUGGGUAAGCCCUCCGUGAAAUCUCCGGGCCUAACCCGGAAAGUGCGGAGGGGACUGCUCGGCUAGAGGAUGGGAGAGGAGCGCGGAAUUCCCGGUGUAGCGGUGAAAUGCGUAGAGAUCGGGAGGAAGGCCGGUGGCGAAGGCGGCGCUCUGGAACAUUUCUGACGCUGAGGCUCGAAAGCGUGGGGAGCAAACAGGAUUAGAUACCCUGGUAGUCCACGCCUUAAACUAUGAAUACUAAG